rnacentral:rRNA from 1 species
UACGAAGGGGGCUAGCGUUGUUCGGAUUCACUGGGCGUAAAGGGUGCGUAGGUGGUCGGGUAAGUCUGAUGUGAAAUCUUCGAGCUCAACUCGAAAAUGGCAUUGGAUACUAUUCGGCUGGAGGGUUGGAAGGGGGACUGGAAUUCUCGGUGUAGCAGUGAAAUGCGUAGAUAUCGAGAGGAACACCGGUGGCGAAGGCGAGUCCCUGGACAAUUCCUGACACUGAGGCACGAAAGCUAGGGGAGCAAACAGG